AAAAAUUUCUUUUAAUUGAAAAUUUGUUUGACGGUAGUGGUUGUUUGCCGGGGGAAAUUACAAAAAUGAAUACUUCAGUGCAAGGCCAUGUGGUCUUAAAUUUUAAAACAAAGAGAAGUUGAAAUAUCAAUCGCAUGCGAACGCAAUGAAUGGAUGAAAAAAUGUAAAAACACGUGGCGAGAGAUGAAGAGAGAGAGAGAGAUAGCCGGCAUUGCACUCCAUGGCUUUGCGAGAAAAGAAGCCGCCAUUUUAUCUUGAAGCGAUUUGGAAAAAUGUGAUCGAGAAUAAUGUGUUGAUUUCGUGAAAGUUCUUCGAUUGCAACUCUUUUAUCAUGAGAUUUAUCUGCUGUCGAAAAACAUUAAAAUGGAUCAGUCGUGGCAUAAGCUUCGACAAGAGUCAACUUAAUGCAGAAGCAAGCUGAAUAAUGAUUUGAAAGCAAUUUAGGUAAGACUUAAUUCAGAUUUUGUAAUUAGCUGCUACAGGUUAAAUGAUGAAUACCUUUAUCUAUUAACUUUCGUUCUACUGAGUGGCAAAUGCUGAUAUAUAUUUUCUGAUACAUAAUACAAAAUCAGCAAUUUGUUGCUAAAAACAUAUAAGAGGUUAUUAACAAUUCCAUUUUUUUUUUACAGACCUGUACCGAUUUCUAUUUCUUGACGGAUUGGACUUAUGAUCAAGAUCGGUUUAAAUGAGUGGAUCUAGACCUAGUUGCUUUAUGAACAUCAUUGGAGGUCCGAACACACUUAAGAAACCUCCCCAAGUCACCAAAAAAAAAUGGACAUGCCUUAAACUCUAAAAGAUUUCUUCGGGCACAUCAUACAAAUAUCCAUUAUUUCUGUAGAAACUUGCAUCUAAUUUAGCCCAAAGAUUUCUUCGGGCACAUCAUACAAAUAUCCAUAAUUUCGGUAGAAACUUGCAUCUAGUUUAGCCCAAAAGGUUUAUCCUCAAAAUGGGCUAAAUAACAAACAUUGUUUUUUGAAAUAAAUGCAACUAAAUAACUGAAA